rnacentral:rRNA from 1 species
GUNNUCNGUACGAGCGCACCCCCUAUCCUUAUUUGCCAGCGCGUAAUGGCGGGGACUAUAAGGAGACUGCCGGUCAUAAACCGGAGGAAGGCGGGGACGACGUCAAGUCAUCAUGGCCCUUAUGGGUAGGGCUACACACGUGCUACAAUGGGUGGUACAGAGGGUCGCCAAAGCGCGAGCUGGAGCCAAACCCUUAAAACCAUUCGUAGUCCGGAUUGGAGUCUGCAACUCGACUCCAUGAAGUCGGAAUCGCUAGUAAUCGCGAAUCAGAAUGUCGCGGUGAAUACGUUCUCGGGCCUUGUACACACCGCCCGUCACAUCAUGGAAGUGGGUUGCACCAGAAGUGGUUAGUCUAACCUUCGGGAAGACGAUCACCACGGUGUGAUUCAUGACUGGGAUGAAGUCGUAACAAGGUAGCCCUAGGGGAACCUGGGGCUGGAUCACCUCCUU